rnacentral:rRNA from 1 species
UAACAUGCAAGUCGAGCGGUUAGCACAGGGGNAGCUUGCUUCCCUGGGUUGACGAGNGGCGGACGGGUGAGUAAUGUCUGGGAAACUGCCUGAUGGAGGGGGAUAACUACUGGAAACGGUAGCUAAUACCGCAUAACGUCGCAAGACCAAAGAGGGGGACCUUCGGGCCUCUUGCCAUCAGAUGUGCCCAGAUGGGAUUAGCUAGUAGGUGGGGUAAUGGCUCACCUAGGCGACGAUCCCUAGCUGGUCUGAGAGGAUGACCAGCCACACUGGAACUGAGACACGGUCCAGACUCAUACGGGAGGCAGCAGUGGGGAAUAUUGCACAAUGGGCGCAAGCCUGAUGCAGCCAUGCCGCGUGUGUGAAGAAGGCCUUCGGGUUGUAAAGCACUUUCAGCGAGGAGGAAGGUGGUGANCUUAAUACGUUCAUCAAUUGACGUUACUCGCAGAAGAAGCACCGGCUAACUCCGUGCCAGCAGCCGCGGUAAUACGGAGGGUGCAAGCGUUAAUCGGAAUUACUGGGCGUAAAGCGCACGCAGGCGGUUUGUUAAGUCAGAUGUGAAAUCCCCGGGCUCAACCUGGGAACUGCAUUUGAAACUGGCAAGCUAGAGUCUC